GUCGGGGUACUCCGGCAGGGUGCGGUAGGCGGCCGCGGCGGCGGACAGGUAGUCGAUGCUCUCGUGGUCGUAGCCGCGGGCCUCGAUGC
rnacentral:tRNA from 1 species